GAGAUGCUUUGGUGCCUUCGGGAACUCUGAGACAGGUGCUGCAUGGCUGUCGUCAGCUCGUGUUGUGAAAUGUUGGGUUAAGUCCCGCAACGAGCGCAACCCUUAUCCUUUGUUGCCAGCGGUUAGGCCGGGAACUCAAAGGAGACUGCCAGUGAUAAACUGGAGGAAGGUGGGGAUGACGUCAAGUCAUCAUGGCCCUUACGAGUAGGGCUACACACGUGCUACAAUGGCGCAUACAAAGAGAAGCGACCUCGCGAGAGCAAGCGGACCUCAUAAAGUGCGUCGUAGUCCGGAUUGGAGUCUGCAACUCGACUCCAUGAAGUCGGAAUCGCUAGUAAUCGUAGAUCAGAAUGCUACGGUGAAUACGUUCCCGGGCCUUGUACACACCGCCCGUCACACCAUGGGAGUGGGUUGCAAAAGAAGUAGGUAGCUUAACCUUCGGGAGGGCGCUUACCACUUUGUGAUUCAUGACUGG
rnacentral:rRNA from 1 species